GACGAACGCUGGCGGCGUGCUUAACACAUGCAAGUCGAACGGAAAGGCCCUGCUUUUGUUGGGUGCUCGAGUGGCGAACGGGUGAGUAACACGUGAGUAACCUGCCCUUGACUUUGGGAUAACUUCGGGAAACUGGGGCUAUUACCGGAUAGGAGCUCCUGCUGCAUGGUGUGGGUUGGAAAGUUUCGGCGGUUGGGGAUGGACUCGCGGCUUAUCAGCUUGUUGGGGGGGUAGUGGCUUACCAAGGCUUUGACGGGUAGCCGGCCUGAGAGGGUGACCGGCCACAUUGGGACUGAGAUACGGCCCAGACUCCUACGGGAGGCAGCAGUGGGGAAUAUUGCGCAAUAGGCGGGAGCCUGAUGCAGCAGCGCCGCGUGCGGGAUGACGGCCUUCGGGUUGUAAACCGCUUUCGCCUGUGGCGAAGCGUGCGUGACGGUAAUGAGUAAGGAAGCACCGGCUAACUACGUG
rnacentral:rRNA from 1 species